rnacentral:rRNA from 1 species
GGGACUGCGGAGUGAGGAGGGGAGGGAGUGGGUAAGGUAAGGGGAGAGAGAGAGAGAGAGAGAGAGACGUGGCGUGGGCUUGGCUCGCUGCGGAGGGAAGGCUGGGUAUGUGGGCGACGCGCCGCUGCUGUGGCCGCCGGCCGGGGUCCGCGCCUGCUCAGGCCGCUCGAGAGGCCAGGAGCAAGGUGGCGGGUGGAGCCCGCGCCCGGAGACGAGGUCGGCCUCCAUGCUUGAGCCGGGGUUUAGUGCGCUACGAUCGGUCGGGUUAAGUAGCCAAGCCGCAGCCUAAACACAACGGACAGUGAUCUAGACCUACACCGCCUACGUAUUAGCGAGUACCCUAACCAAGCUCAGGUAUUAAACGCAAGAUGCUAAUCCUAACGGGCAAGCGUGGACAAGCAAGCAGACUGGGGGUGUAUAACGAGAUACGACCGUAUAGACUUACGAACCUCACAAUUAAUUAGCUAGAGUGAUGUAUAAAGGACUACGAGCCCACACGGAUCAGUACCAAGUCAAUUAAAACGUCCUACUAAAUCCUUAUAUACAAGCAUACAUUACCUGGUUAUGGUUAAAAUUAGUGUUUAGUAAAAACUCAACAACUGACCAGAUGACGACGAACGUCGACGAUUAUGGGUCAAAGUCUCUCCCUCUUAUGGUCCUAUGACUAGAUCUUGGUACCAUACACGCUAGUCGAUCCUCCCGUGGUCACAAGAUCUACCACCUGCAAUGGGACGAAUCCACGAUCCACGGUGGGAGGAUAGAUCCACAGACGGAUUAGGACUGAUCUUAGAAGGGCCGGCGGUCGAACCACGAAAAAUCUCAUGAGGUUCCGGUAGAAGGGAUUCGUCGUCGGAGUAAAGGACCACGUCAACCAAGUACAGUAGGUACGGUCCCUCCUACUAUUAUAACAAUAAACAUCGUAAGUAUGAUGAUAGGAUGAAGGUUUAGUCUACGAUUUAAAUACACCCAAUAAUGACCAAUCAAAAUAAAGUGCGUUCAUCAUAGUGAAGUAUUAAAAUAAGGCCGAGGUACCGACGAUGUAUAGACGAAACGGUCCGAUGUGAAGACGAACGGAGACGGUGGCGCUGUAAAAAUUUCACAUAUACACCUAACGGAUCGGGAAAGGUUUUUCUGAAAACCAACGCAACCCAUCACGUACUUCGAAUUGUACCAUAGUCUCAGAAUUCCAGAACUCGAGUUCAGGACCGAAGACGUUAAAUAGGUUUUAAACGACAACGAGGGAGAAACAGGUACAUAUCCGGAGAACUCGGUAUGGACACUCAGAUAAGUGCACAACUGAAGGGCGUAGUGUACACUCUCCCCCACAACUUCACAUAUACACCUAACGGAUCGGGAAAGGUAGUCAAACCUAAAAACCAAUGCAACCGAUCACGUACAUCGAAUUGUCUGUAGAGGAGGGUAUGGUGACCCGGGUGAGACUGGGGUAAAGGGCGAUAGAGCGUGACGACCGUGUGAGGACUUCCGACUCCGGUAGAGACAUGGACGGGCCAAACGGUUCAACCGACGUGUCUUAGGCUUGCAGUGGAGACCGUGGAAACUGGUUGAUCCGCUAGAGGGACGGAAUGAGACGAUUCCAACGGGCCGGCGAAAAGUCUCUUGAACACGUACAAGAAAACAAGGAGAAUAGAAUUUUGAUUCUUGUGUUUGUGGUAAACAGAACCCCCUAUAUAUCUACUGAUCUCCUACUUAUAUCUUGGGACACUUGAAAACUUUUUCCUGGGGGGUUAAAUGUUUAGAGACAGUUGAGUGUUCGGGGUAUAGGAUCUCCAGACGACACCAAUGAAAGGCGCACCUCGAAAAGACCUUAUAGGUAUCAGUCAACAGUGUACAAUCAGUUGAAAACUCGGCUCAAUUAACUAGUGAAACAAAAGAACUCCGAUAAAAAAGGGGAGUGUUUAGACAUAUCACUUUUGACUCUUCGAAUUUCUUGUAUUUCAUUGUUAUAUGGAAUUAUUAACAUCGACGACGACAAAGAAAGUACCAACUACAAUUGUUAGUACUAAAACCUUAUAUCAAGGGAUACAGGAAUCCAUAACAUUAGUUAAACGUUUAUUUUUGACAAAUUGUAACAUGGUCCCGUUCACGAUUCAUUCUUGAAAGUUACUUAUACUCGAUGGAAACGAUACGGGAUCCUCCUUGAGGCUUGUUAAAACCCAGAUAGUUGUUAGAAAACAAUGUGCGAUAGGGAGUCGUUCAUUUUAUUAAAGAGAUACUACACUACACGGGACGUCCGAGUGGAAGUCGGAGUGAAUCCUAUGAAAGUAAUAAAUACAGGGAUAACAACCAAAUCUCAAGAUUGAUAAACAAAAGUAGUAAGGUACAGAGUAAUUCAAAGACAGACUUAUUAUAGAUAAUCUACUUACGGACUAGUAAUAAAACUAAGAUGAAACGACUAAAGAUACAUGUCGCACAUAGACUUGAACCUACAAACUGAUACAAGUCCGAUUAUCCAGAACAGCGAAGGCACGACAUAUGACUCUAUUAUACCAACUCACGUGUUACCAUAGCUGGAAUGAACUGCCAGAAGGAUUACUUCACCGAGAGGUCACGGAACGUGCACAGGGCAAACAUAGAGUAGGAUAAGAAGUCGACCAAACGGCGAGAACCUCUCGUAGACAAGCGUUACCCCUCGAAGAGUUACAAGCCUUAGUCUAACCACGCUGUCUUCUUGACGAUACACACAAUCGUAAACUUGGACUUUUGUAAACCGUUGAAAUACUAGGAGCAGCUCUGUUCACCUAUUGAGAGGGACAGUACGGUAGAGUCUAAUCCUUGUAACGGGCAAAACCUCAACGGAGACAACGACCUUUUGAGAUACAUUAACCACCACCGUCACUAUCUCAACUGGGGGAAUGACCUCUGGUACUGUGUUAGAAACGCUCGUUGCUCCAGACCAGAAUACUAGGAGAGGUGGCGAACACCCGGGUCUCCCGAGGUUACGAACAUCGAGCUCGAUACAAACGAACAACACGUAACCUACCCUUCUAUUAACAACGACCCCCUAAAUGUUUGACGGCGUUUAGCUAUAGCCUCCGACUCUAAAUGCUAGGACUUCGACUGUGUACCCUCAGGGAGGGACUAGAGGCAGUCCGUGUGGGGAGACGUACGAGACCAGAACAGUAGUUCCUAUUCUACGUGCAUAACGUAUUUCCCUAUAGUUGUCAGGUCUAAGAGCUUCUACCGCCAUUAAUAACCCGACAACUCCUGAUGAGAACCGACGUUCCGGGUUACCGUUACCAACCACCUCUCAACAUACACGACUCGUUAUCGACGUAAUCCUUCGUCGUACCACUCUUAAAGGGACUAUUCUACCAAGGAACACGUAGUCCUAAGGUUUCGUCCUAACCGAAACCGUACUAACCGAAUCCCCUGUCGUAUACAAACAAACCACCUCACUAACCCGGACCCGGUUCUUUAGUCACGUAAUUCGGUAACAGACUACAACUAUAGAACUUACAGCGUUCGCUCUCCGGUUGGACCGCUGUUCCUAGCGGCUACUGCGCAACGGCUCCCUCAUAGCGUCCGACACGAGACGACUUCUAUAUCCGAACAAGGUCACACCCUAGCACGACAACGACUUUUGACGUCUACCUAAAAUAAAUAAGACGUAGAGUAAAUUAAAGACUUUUUUUCCAAUUGAUACGAAAAUCAAGACCUAGUGAACAACAUCGUAACUCCUAUAUACAACCGGUACUGAGCUUACAGUCUAACAGUUAGUCAAUAAUAUGAUGAUAUAAUAUGAUGUACGCGGAACGUCACGAACGACGUUAGAAUAACCAAACUAAAAAAUAAAAAAAAACGUGUUACGUUUCAAGGG